UAGAGUGUUAGAAUAUUGUUACUGUAA
rnacentral:piRNA from 1 species